GAUGAAGAACGCAGCGAAAUGCGAUACGUAGUGUGAACUGCAGAAUUCAGUGAAUCAUCGAAUCUUUGAACGCACAUUGCACCUCUCGGUAUUCCGGGAGGUAUGCCUGUUCGAGCGUCAUUUGUACCCUCAAGCUCUGCUUGGUGUUGGGUGUUUGUUCCGCCUCUGUGUGUGAACUCGCCUCAAAACAAUUGGCAGCCGGCGUACUUGUUUCGGAGCGCAGCACAUUUUGCGAUCCAGAUCAACGUACAGCGGCAUCCAAGAAGCCUUAUUUAACGCUCUUGACCUCGGAUCAGGUAGGGAUACCCGCUGAACUUAAGCAUAUCAAUAAGCGGAGGA
rnacentral:misc_RNA from 1 species